AAUAUUGGACAAUGGGGGGAACCCUGCUCCAGCCAUGCCGCGUGCGUGAAGAAGGCAUUCUGUUUGUAUAGCACCUUAAGUCAGGAGGAGGUUACCCUAAUUCAUACCUAGGGAUAGUGGACGUUCGUCGCAGACUAAGCACCGGCUAACUCAGUGCCAGCAGCCGCGGUAAUACAGAGGGUGCAAGCGUUAAUCGGAUUUACUGGGCGUAAAGCGCGCGUAGGUGGCCAAUUAAGUCAAAUGUGAAAUCCCCGAGCUUAACUUGGGAAUUGCAUUCGAUACUGGUUGGCUAGAGUAUGGGAGAGGAUGGUAGAAUUCCAGGUGUAGCGGUGAAAUGCGUAGAGAUCUGGAGGAAUACCGAUGGCGAAGGCAGCCAUCUGGCCUAAUACUGACACUGAGGUGCGAAAGCAUGGGGAGCAAAC
rnacentral:rRNA from 1 species